rnacentral:rRNA from 1 species
UACGUAGGGGGCAAGCGUUGUCCGGAAUCAUUGGGCGUAAAGAGCGUGUAGGCGGCCCGGUAAGUCCGCUGUGAAAGUCCAGGGCUCAACCCUGGAAUGCCGGUGGAAACUGUCGGGCUAGAGUCCGGAAGAGGCGAGUGGAAUUCCUGGUGUAGCGGUGAAAUGCGCAGAUAUCAGGAGGAACACCAAUGGCGAAGGCAGCUCGCUGGGCCGGUACUGACGCUGAGACGCGAAAGCGUGGGGAGCAAACAGG